rnacentral:tRNA from 1 species
GAUAAAUAAGGGAAUUAAACCCUUGUAUGUAGGACUACAAACUACUGCCUUACAUUCGGCCAUUUUACC